AGAACAUGGGAAGGGACAAAUAAGGGAAUAAAACUGGCCACCCCAGCCGGCAGUGGCAACCCACUUGGGUGCCGUGAAAGCUUUGUUCUUUCGGUCUUCACAGUAGAUCUUGCUGCUGCUCACUUUUUGGGUCUGUGCCAUCUUUAAGAGUUGUAACACUCACCUCAAAGGUCUGCAGCUCCAUUCUUGAAGUCAAGGAGACCACGAACCCCCCAGAAGGAACCAACUCUGGACACAAAAGGAAAGGAAUAGCAGUUAUGUCUCAGGGUUUUUUGAGGAUCAAACUGGAAAAUGCUGUCAACUAUAGUUAUUAGUAUACAGUAUAAUGAAGAAUCUUGAGGUCCUCCUGGAUUACCAAAGUGGGCCCUAAAUCCAGUGGCAGAAGACACAGACACAGAGAGGAGACCAGGUGAAGACAAAAGAAGAGGCUGGAGUGAUGCAACCAUCAGAGAGUGAAAAUACUCAGUUACCUCCUGGUUUAUGAGGCAAUGAAGUAUUCCAGCACAUAAAUAUUGACGCUGAGACCCAUGGGAUGUAGGAGUGCUGAGCACAUUUGCAAGACAUAAAGACCGAAGGUACCUUGUACAAGUGGAAUCAUUACAAUAUUUAUGCUUCUGUGUCUGGCUUAAUAGCCACAUUUUUUCACAAUAGCUGAAAGAUAUUCAUCAACAGAUGAAUGGAGAAACAAAAAUGUGGAAUACGCACACAAUGGAAUAUUAUUCAAAGGGAAUUAAUUCUGAUACAUGCUGCGCAUGAAUGAAACUAGAACACAAAGCCUCUACUUUCAAGACCAUUGUCUCACCAAAGGGGUCAAGAAAACCAACUCUGAGACUCAAAGGAGAUCAGUGGCCUCAUUGUUUACUCUUUCUUUCACUGGGACAAAUAAAACUUAAUGACUUAAAUUCAGAGAGUGAAGAAAAUCAAUAUGGUGCAUUUUAAUAUUUAUAAAAUAUUAUUUUUAUUGCCUCAAUUUAAUUCAUUAGAUAAGCAGAGUUUUAAAAUGGAUGCUAACGAAACCUCUUACAGAGUGCAUUAAAAAGUGUGUGUGUUGGCCAGGCAUGGUGGCUCAUGCUUGUAAUACCAGCACUUUGGGAGGCUGAGGCAGGAGGAUUGCUGAAGUCCAGGAGUUUAAGACCAGCCUGAGCAACAAAGUGAGACCCCAUCUCUACUUUAAAAAUAAAGUGUGUGUGCCAAGAAAAAUA
ensembl:lncRNA LINC01320 long intergenic non-protein coding RNA 1320